rnacentral:lncRNA from 1 species
AGCAAAAGUAUACGGAGCAGGGAUUGCGCGAUAAAGCUGAUUUUCUCUUCUGUCCGUGAGUGUAACUUGAAAUUAAAGACUGCAAUUCAAACUUGACAUUGCGAACUUUCCAGUGCACUCAUCAAUUUCAGUUUAUGCAUCAGAAAUAUAAAUA